AUGGCCUCCUCGUCGCUGGACACGGAGGCGGGAGCCGGAGCGCAGCACAAGGCCGGCGGCGACGGCAGCGGGUACACCACCGCGGCCACCGCCCACGCGGUAGACACAGAUUCAUGGCAGCAGGUUGGGCUGCUGCUGGUGACGGGGUUCAACUGCGCCUACGUGCUCAGCUUCUCCAACCUGAUGAUGGUGCCGCUGGGGUGGGGGUGGGGCGCCGCCUGCCUGCUGCUCCUCGCCGCCGCCGCCUGGUACGCCAACUGGCUCCUCGCCGGCCUCCACGUCGUCGACGGCCAGAGGUUCAUCCGCUACAGGGACCUCAUGGGCUUCGUCUUCGGGAGGAAAAUGUACUACCUCACCUGGUUCCUGCAGUUCACCACCCUGCUCCUGGGAAGCAUGGGCUUCAUUCUGCUCGGCGGAAGAGCACUCAAGGCGAUCAGCGCGGAGUUCACCCAGACGCCUCCGCGGCUGCAGUGGUUCAUCGCCGCGACGGGGUUCGUCUACUUCGCCUUCGCCUACUUCGUGCCCACCAUCUCCGCCAUGAGGAACUGGCUGGCCACCUCCGCCGCGCUCACCGUCACCUUCGACGUGGCGCUGCUGGCCGUCCUCGUCAGAGACGGCCGGUCGAACGAUCGGAGCGGGAGGGACUACAGCAUCCACGGGACGGGGGCGGAGAAGGCGUUCAACGCGCUGGGGGCCGUGGCGGCGAUCCUGGUGUGCAACACCUCGGGCCUGCUCCCGGAGAUCCAGUCGACGCUGCGUAAGCCGGCGGUGGGCAACAUGCGGCGGGCGCUGGCGCUGCAGUACACGGUGGGCGCCGCGGGGUACUACGGGAUCAGCGUGGCCGGGUACUGGGCGUACGGCGCCGCCGCGUCCGAGUACCUCCCCAACCAGCUCUCCGGCCCGCGCUGGGCCUCCGUGCUCAUCAACGCCACCGCCUUCCUCCAGAGCAUCGUCUCGCAGCACCUGUUCACGGUGCCGAUCCACGAGGGCAUGGACACGGGGCUGCAGCGGCUGGAGGAGGGCAUGUUCUCGCGCUACAACAUGACGCGCAGGCUCUUCGCCAGGGGGCUGCUCUUCGGGGUCAACGUCUUCGUCACCGCGCUCUUCCCAUUCAUGGGCGACUUCGUCAACCUCUUCGGCUCCUUCGCGCUCUUCCCGCUCACCUUCAUGUUCCCCAGCAUGAUCGUCCUCAAGAUCAAAGGGGAGUGCGACGGGAGAUGGGGCAGGCUCUGGCACUGGGGCAUCAUCGUCGUCUCCUCCGCCGUCGGCCUCGCCACCUCCGCCGCCGCCGUCAGACUCAUCCUGCACAACGCCAGCGUCUACCGCUUCUUCGCCGACACCUAG
rnacentral:rRNA from 1 species